CUGACCUGAAGAACCCAAGCAUAAUAAAAAACUCAAGUCACUUGUGCAACUAAAAGAUUAUCUACCAACAACUACUAAGUCAUCAAUUUCGUUUUAUGCUUUGAACAACACUCCCAAUGCAUCAAAGUAAUACUCAAUCUUGAGUGUUAAUCACAUCAAAAUAGGCAUAUUUCUAUUUUCUAUUAUUUAGUAGGUUUCAUCAAUAAUUGCUGACUGACUUGCAUGCUAAACAUUACAUAAUUAAAGAUAUAAAUGAGAUUUGCAAUGCAAUUCACUAUAAACAUACACAGCAUAUAAAUAACAAGAAUAGUCUAUAAAAUUUCUCUAAACCCUGAGCUGAAGGAAAUAGCAUAUCUCAAAUCAUAAGUAUAUAGAAACAACUGCAAAUUAAUUAUAUAAUCAAUUUUAAUGGCGACUCCUUGUACAUAAUCAACAGGAAGACACAACAAAACAAAUCUAUCCCAACAUAAACAGACAACAUUUCCGUGCAGAUUUCUAAGCAUAUAAAAUUUAUUCCAUCCUGAAUACACACAACAUUUACAGGAAUAUUUUUAAGCAUAUCAAAUUUAUCUCAUCCUAAAUACAGAAUCUUUCCAGGCACAUUGAGAUUGUAAUAGCAAG
rnacentral:misc_RNA from 1 species